rnacentral:rRNA from 1 species
GKUUUARRGUUUGAUCAUGGCUCAGGACGAACGCUGGCGGCGUGCCUAAUACAUGCAAGUCGAACGAACUCUGGUAUUGAUUGGUGCUUGCAUCAUGAUUUACAUUUGAGUGAGUGGCGAACUGGUGAGUAACACGUGGGAAACCUGCCCAGAAGCGGGGGAUAACACCUGGAAACAGAUGCUAAUACCGCAUAACAACUUGGACCGCAUGGUCCGAGUUUGAAAGAUGGCUUCGGCUAUCACUUUUGGAUGGUCCCGCGGCGUAUUAGCUAGAUGGUGRGGUAACGGCUCACCAUGGCAAUGAUACGUAGCCGACCUGAGAGGGUAAUCGGCCACAUUGGGACUGAGACACGGCCCAAACUCCUACGGGAGGCAGCAGUAGGGAAUCUUCCACAAUGGACGAAAGUCUGAUGGAGCAACGCCGCGUGAGUGAAGAAGGGUUUCGGCUCGUAAAACUCUGUUGUUAAAGAAGAACAUAUCUGAGAGUAACUGUUCAGGUAUUGACGGUAUUUAACCAGAAAGCCACGGCUAACUACGUGCCAGCAGCCGCGGUAAUACGUAGGUGGCAAGCGUUGUCCGGAUUUAUUGGGCGUAAAGCGAGCGCAGGCGGUUUUUUAAGUCUGAUGUGAAAGCCUUCGGCUCAACCGAAGAAGUGCAUCGGAAACUGGGAAACUUGAGUGCAGAAGAGGACAGUGGAACUCCAUGUGUAGCGGUGAAAUGCGUAGAUAUAUGGAAGAACACCAGUGGCGAAGGCGGCUGUCUGGUCUGUAAACAGG